UUAAAUUGAAGAGUUUGAUCAUGGCUCAGAUUGAACGCUGGCGGCAGGCCUAACACAUGCAAGUCGAACGGUAACAGGAAGCAGCUUGCUGCUUUGCUGACGAGUGGCGGACGGGUGAGUAAUGUCUGGGAAACUGCCUGAUGGAGGGGGAUAACUACUGGAAACGGUGGCUAAUACCGCAUAAUGUCGCAAGACCAAAGAGGGGGACCUGCGGGCCUCUUGCCAUCAGAUGUGCCCAGAUGGGAUUAGCUUGUUGGUGAGGUAACGGCUCACCAAGGCGACGAUCCCUAGCUGGUCUGAGAGGAUGACCAGCCACACUGGAACUGAGACACGGUCCAGACUCCUACGGGAGGCAGCAGUGGGGAAUAUUGCACAAUGGGCGCAAGCCUGAUGCAGCCAUGCCGCGUGUAUGAAGAAGGCCUUCGGGUUGUAAAGUACUUUCAGCGGGGAGGAAGGUGUUGUGGUUAAUAACCGCAGCAAUUGACGUUACCCGCAGAAGAAGCACCGGCUAACUCCGUGCCAGCAGCCGCGGUAAUACGGAGGGUGCAAGCGUUAAUCGGAAUUACUGGGCGUAAAGCGCACGCAGGCGGUCUGUCAAGUCGGAUGUGAAAUCCCCGGGCUCAACCUGGGAACUGCAUUCGAAACUGGCAGGCUUGAGUCUUGUAGAGGGGGGUAGAAUUCCAGGUGUAGCGGUGAAAUGCGUAGAGAUCUGGAGGAAUACCGGUGGCGAAGGCGGCCCCCUGGACAAAGACUGACGCUCAGGUGCGAAAGCGUGGGGAGCAAACAGGAUUAGAUACCCUGGUAGUCCACGCCGUAAACGAUGUCUACUUGGAGGUUGUGCCCUUGAGGCGUGGCUUCCGGAGCUAACGCGUUAAGUAGACCGCCUGGGGAGUACGGCCGCAAGGUUAAAACUCAAAUGAAUUGACGGGGGCCCGCACAAGCGGUGGAGCAUGUGGUUUAAUUCGAUGCAACGCGAAGAACCUUACCUGGUCUUGACAUCCACAGAACUUUCCAGAGAUGGAUUGGUGCCUUCGGGAACCGUGAGACAGGUGCUGCAUGGCUGUCGUCAGCUCGUGUUGUGAAAUGUUGGGUUAAGUCCCGCAACGAGCGCAACCCUUAUCCUUUGUUGCCAGCGGUUAGGCCGGGAACUCAAAGGAGACUGCCAGUGAUAAACUGGAGGAAGGUGGGGAUGACGUCAAGUCAUCAUGGCCCUUACGACCAGGGCUACACACGUGCUACAAUGGCGCAUACAAAGAGAAGCGACCUCGCGAGAGCAAGCGGACCUCAUAAAGUGCGUCGUAGUCCGGAUUGGAGUCUGCAACUCGACUCCAUGAAGUCGGAAUCGCUAGUAAUCGUGGAUCAGAAUGCCACGGUGAAUACGUUCCCGGGCCUUGUACACACCGCCCGUCACACCAUGGGAGUGGGUUGCAAAAGAAGUAGGUAGCUUAACCUUCGGGAGGGCGCUUACCACUUUGUGAUUCAUGACUGGGGUGAAGUCGUAACAAGGUAACCGUAGGGGAACCUGCGGUUGGAUCACCUCCUUACCUGAAAGAAGC
rnacentral:rRNA from 1 species